CCUCGACGUCCACCUGUCCACUUUCGGCCGCUCUUCACCACAUUGUUUUAGGACGAGGUCGAUCAGCAUGUCGU
rnacentral:lncRNA from 1 species